UGUAGUGCCGCCGGGAUCGCUGGCUGGAGAGGUUUGCAGCCGCUUCCGUGCUACUCGUGCUGUGAGCAUUGCAAGCUAGAGCCGAGUACGCGGGCCGGCCAUCAUGUCACGUUACGGGCGGUAUGGAGGAGAAACCAAGGUAUAUGUUGGUAACCUGGGAACUGGUGCUGGUAAAGGAGAGUUAGAAAGGGCAUUCAGUUACUAUGGGCCCUUAAGAACUGUAUGGAUUGCCAGAAAUCCUCCAGGAUUUGCCUUUGUGGAAUUUGAAGACCCUAGAGAUGCAGAGGAUGCGGUUCGAGGAUUGGAUGGGAAAGUGAUUUGUGGUUCUCGAGUGAGGGUUGAACUAUCAACAGGCAUGCCUCGGAGAUCUCGUUUUGAUAGACCACCUGCCCGUCGUCCCUUUGAUCCUAAUGAUAGAUGCUAUGAGUGUGGUGAAAAGGGACAUUAUGCUUAUGACUGUCAUCGCUAUAGCCGACGAAGAAGAAGCAGGUUUCUUCGUUUGAGUCAGUCGCCUUGAUUCAGAAUGUCACGAGCCUUAUGAUAUCAUGCUGAGGCGCCUUGCAAAUCCGACAAUUAAGAUCCUCCUAGACCUUGAGGUGAUCAGCAUAAGAGGCCAGAUCCCCUCGAGUCAUCUACACCUAGCUUCACCUUAUUCUUUAAAGGGCAGAAAAUUUGAGUCGGUGAUCGCCGUAACAGUAAAAUUGGCUUACAAUUGGGGCCCCCCUCCGCUUUAGAAAGAGGAACACCAGAUUGACCACAUUCCCAACUAGAAAAAUCUUCUUGCGUCAAUCAAGCCUCACCUGGCUCUUUUGGCUGUCAGUUUGAUCGUCGUUAGAUUGAAGAAAACAUCUAGAUGCAGCGAUCGACUAUAGAUACUUCUAGAUCAUCUAGAUCUACUAGACCUACUACUAGACCAUGGGCCAAAGAGGGUCGACCUGCAAACUUGCAAGGUUUAUUUUAAAUACACAUUAUGGUGUUUUUAUAUUUUGUAAUUCUAAGUUGUAAUUCAGCUUUUAACAAAUCUUUUUUUAGGUUAGUAAAAAAAAAUAAAAUUUAAUAGGCCCAGAGUUUUUCCAAAUGAAAUACUAAAUUUUAAAUAGUUUGGAGAUUUGAUUUCAGCAGAGGUACACAAACACUAAAACUGAGUUAUCGUCUAAUAUUUUGUAUUUUUCUAACUUGAAAAAUAGGUCGCGAUCUAGAUCCCAUUCCCGCUCCAGGGGAAGGAGAUACUCUCGAUCACGCAGCAGGAGCCGUGGAAGGAGGUCAAGAUCAGCAUCUCCUCGACGAUCAAGGUCUGUGUCUCUUCGUAGAUCAAGAUCAGCCUCACUCAGAAGAUCUAGGUCUGGUUCUAUAAUAGGAUCGAGGUAUUUCCAAUCCCGCUCAAGGUCGAGAUCAAGAUCCAGGUCUAUUUCACGACCAAGAAGCAGCCGAUCAAAAUCCAGAUCUCCAUCUCCUAAAAGAAGUCGUUCCCCAUCAGGAAGUCCACACAGAAGUGCAAGUCCAGAAAGAAUGGACUGAAGUUCUCAAGUUCACCCAUUAGGGAAAAGUUAUUUUGUUUACAUUAUUAUAAGGGAUUUGUUAUGUCUGUAAAGUGUAACCUAGGAAGGAUCAUCAACCAUCUAAUCAAAAUGGAUCUGGAUUAUUACUCUGUAAAAUUCACAGCAGUAAAUAUUGUUUUUGUUGAAUGUAUUAACAUCUUAUAGUCUGAAAAUGUGGGUUUUUAUUUGACACGUUUAAAUAAAAUGUUUCUAACUA